AAGUGAUCCUCCCACAUCAGCCUCCCGAGUAGCUGGGACUGUGAGACAACUUCAGGUUAAGGGACUUAGCCAAAGUUAUACGGCCAGUUGCUAGAAGAAUCAGAACCAGCACCAUGUCACCUCCUUCACUUCAAUAUUACAUGAAAAUCUGCACAGCCUCCUGGAAACAUCCAAC